AGAGUUUGAUCAUGGCUCAGAGCAAACGCUGGCGGCGUGCCUAAUACAUGCAAGUCGAACGGGUUUAUAACUUCGGUUAUAAACUAGUGGCGCACGGGUGAGUAACACGUGGGUAAUCUGCCUUAGAGUGGGGAAUAACUAGUCGAAAGAUUAGCUAAUACCGCAUAAGACCACAGGAUCUGAGGAUCUAGGGGUCAAAGGAGCAAUUCGCUCUAAGAUGAGCCCGCGUCAGAUUAGCUAGUUGGUGAGGUAACGGCUCACCAAGGCAUUGAUCUGUAGCUGGUCUGAGAGGAUGAUCAGCCACACUGGAACUGAGACACGGUCCAGACUCCUACGGGAGGCAGCAGUAGGGAAUAUUGCGCAAUGGGCGAAAGCCUGACGCAGCGACGCCGCGUGAGUGAUGAAGGACUUCGGUUCGUAAAGCUCUGUUGUACGGGAAUAAAAAAAUGAAUGUACCGUACGAGUAAGGAUCGGCUAACUUCGUGCCAGCAGCCGCGGUAAGACGAGGGAUCCUAGCGUUGCUCGGAAUUAUUGGGCGUAAAGCGGGUGUAGGUGGCUUGGUAAGUCGGGUGUGAAAGCCCAGGGCUCAACCCUGGAAGUGCAUUCGAUACUGCUGAGCUUGAGUGCGAGAGAGGUUAUUAGAAUACCUGGUGUAGUGGUGAAAUACGUAGAUAUCAGGUGGAACACCGGAGGCGAAGGCGGAUAACUGGCUCGACACUGACACUGAGACCCGAAAGCGUGGGGAUCAAACAGGAUUAGAUACCCUAGUAGUCC
rnacentral:rRNA from 1 species